UACGUAGGGUGCAAGCGUUGUCCGGAUUUAUUGGGCGUAAAGGGCGCGUAGGCGGUUUCUUAAGUUUGGAGUGACAGUGGGUGGCUUAACUACCCAAGGCCUCUGAAAACUGGGGAACUUGAGGACCAGAGAGGGACAUAGAAUUCCGGGUGGAGUGGUGAAAUGCGUAGAUAUCCGGAGGAAUACCAAAGGCGAAGGCAGUGUCCUGGAGGGUGACUGACGCUGAGGCGCGAAAGCUAGGGGAGCGAACAGG
rnacentral:rRNA from 1 species